CGUUUCCCUUAUUGGAAAUAUGAAUGAGACAUCCCCUCAGCCACCGGAGCAAGGGGGAAAUUGAUUCACCGACGCAUGAAGCGGGUUACAAGAGUGUCGAGGUCUAUGUCGACAAAUCGAGGAUUUGACUUAUGGAAGUAAAAGAACAUUACUUGAAAUGAAAUGUAUAAAAUGUAGCCUACUGGAAACGUUUAAUUACCUACCGUUUUAUCACCACAUAGCCUAUACUUUGAAGUCAACAGAUGUAAGUUAGUUUUAGAAUUGUCUUAACAACUUUAUAUUUAUGUUCUAAGAGACUGCCAUACCCGUAUGUCAGACGCAGCCUGAUCGUCGAAGCGUUUGAUCGUUUCCUUGAAUCCAAUUUCAAUUCUAUGAAAAGAACCGAUUCAUAGAAAUGAGUCGGAAUUCGCAUUACUAACAACAAAAGAGCAGUUCUGUGAAACUGCAUGGGAAACCAACUUAAAUGUUUAGUCCGUAAUUCCUUCAUUAUUAACAAUUAAUAUAAUUACAUAACAAUUAAUAGAAUUUAAUGAUGAUGAUAAACACCCAUCUUUUGUACUUACAAAAUCCUUUAAAAAUGUACUUGGGAUUUCUAUAAAUCUGUAAUUGAUUGCUCCAGGUUAUUUUCGAGUAAUGAUCAACUUCAACAUUUUCUUAUGAAAGCCUACUGAAAGGUAGGACAGCAUAAGAAAACAAAAAAACAAAUGAGCAGUUAACCUGCUUGUCAUUCUCAAAACUGUAAUAAAAUCACCACAUAAAUAUUUCUUAUUAAUCAACAGAUUUUAUUUACAGAAAGAACAGAAAUAUGUGUGUGGACUGUUGUCAUCACAUUUUAUAAAGUAGAAUUGUGUCCCCUUUCUAUAGAAAGCAGGAAUUUACAAACAGAUUUGAAGUUGACAUUUUAACCAAAGACCAAUCGAGGAAAUUGAGUCAAAGCAUUUAUUGAUCUUUUGCAAUGUUUCUGCAAACAUUCCCACCCCUCAUCCCUUUACUAAAAUCAUACUAUUUAUCAUUGAUUCAUCUCCAGUCCCCUGCAACCUUGGCGUUUCAAAAUAAAUGCUGAAGGGAAGAAACAGACCAAUGAAUCUCAAUGCACUGGACUGUGAUGGACACAAGAAUAAAAGCACGUAAUGGAGUUUCAAGAGUGCAAUUAGUACAGCAAUGGCAAGAUAGGUAAAACAAACCACUAAAAACCAAAUAUGAUAACAGAAUUGUUAUACUAAAGCAUUAUUAUGCAAAAUCUCCCUUCUCUCUAGGCUCUACCUUACCCAUAGUCCAGAACUAAUUCUACAUAAGAGGUUUACAUCUUCAACAGUUUCUGUGAUGGUGGGAAAACUUUUCAUUUGAACCAUUUCCUAGGUGAAAUUGCAGUUUGCAUGUGAUUUCAAUCUUGUGUCUCUUUUUCGUUUUAAAGGACCUAUACUUUUUUGCUAGGUUUUUUUCUAAGAGGGUAGGUCUGACAAGUGUUCAAAACAGGGACUAGUCUGCUGCUCCUCAUUAACAAAUAG